CUCAAGCCAACCAGCAGAGGGAAUACAAGAGCUUUGAACGCAUCUUUGAUACGCUAGUGGAGGGCACAAAUAAGACUUCUUAUAAAAACCGUGGCAUAAAGUCAAUCCUUCGUCUUUAUUCAGCGAACUUUUGUGUGGUGAGAAUGUUGCAGUGCAACAUGUCCUCUUCAGAAAGUUGCUUUGUGAUUGCAAUCAUAGUUUCCAGUCUGCCUCGUGAUGGGACUGAUGAAGCACGUGGCCUCGGAUGAUUCGCGAGAUAGGCGUUUUAGGCUGUUGAACAUCUGCGUUUGAUGCAUCGAUUAUAAAUCGUAAUGAACGCAACGAAGGGUUAAGUUAGUGCUUUCACCGAUGGUAAGAGUGUUAGAUGGUGUGGCUUCGUAAGAGAUGUAAGAAGACCAAGUCCAUUUGGUGGUAUACAGUUUGGAAAGUGCUCUUCUGCGUGUUACUAAUGUGCAAAUGUAAUUUUAAAACACUGAAUAUAGUGUUACAGAAUUUUGUAUGUGCUUUUUAGAUGUAUGGAUAAAUGUCUUAAUAAAAAUGUGAACAAAACCUUAAUUUGUGUUGUG
ensembl:lncRNA